CGCUAUUGGGAAUUGGCUCUAUAUUGUAGCUAAAUUUUACACAAGCUAAUAAUAAACUUCUCCUCUCCCUGGGUUAUUUUCUUCCCAUCUGGGUGACCACUUCCCUUCUGUAGGAGCUGAAAUCCCAUCCUGGAUAAAAAAACCCUCCUGUUCUUUCUCUCCUGGGUCACUCAGGUUCAGUGAAACAUCACGACUUACAUCAUCUUAAGCCAUUGAUCGGGGAGGGAAAAGUCUGACACAGAUGGUGCUGGCAGCCACGCUGCAAAAAUUCCUUGUUGUGUAAGAAGUUGGUCCAAUGACUGAGUGUCACAGAGAGUGAGAUAGCCUUUCCUGCCCUGAUUCCACUUGGCUAUCCCUCAUGUUUUUUAUACAAAGUCAAGGCCAAAAUAUACAAGAAGGACCGUUGUCCAUGUCAGGUUUGUGCAUUGGGCCAAAUGGCCAUCAUGGAUUUCUGUCCAUAUUCCCUGUAUACUUUAUAUGUGUUGCAAAUAAGAGUUUUGAUGUCACCGCUUUCUUUAAGUGUGAGCAGAGGAGUAAAAUAAAGGCCCAAUACUUCAGGCCUGAUGCUUUAUGCACAAGGCUGAAGUUGUAACUGUUGCUGAGAUGACUGUGGAAGCGAUGCGUGGUGGCUUCUUUGUUGGCUUUUAAGGGAAACAUCUGCUCUGGGUCUUAUGGACAAAAUCCAAGGCGAAAAUCUGUGUCAAAGCAAAAUGAAAAUACAUAUGAGGGUCCUGUGGGUAAGUCAUGAGCCCCUCCAUGUUCUCGGUGCCUAAGUUUAGCUGUGGCACGAUGUUGCUGUAGUGAAGAGCAGUAUAGGUAUGGCCAGUGGAGGUCAGGACCUCCACACCCUUGCCAUCAAACACCUCUGUGACCUGGAUGAGACUGUCCUGCUUCAAAAUUCUUGCUCCUUAUGCCUUGGAUAGUCUUGCCUGAAGAUCUGUCUUCUGGGAAAGGAAGGGCAAGACUGAAUGUUCAGCCCCCAAACCAGUGGCUCAGUUGGAGUCUCCUUGCAGGGGGACAGUGGCUUUUACACCAUCAGUAAGGACAUGUGAGAAAAGAGGUGGAGUAGAGAGAGCUGUCAGUGAUGAGUCUGUGGAGACAGACUCAAGAACAGUGACACCUAAGAGGUGCCACAAUACACUGAAAACACUAUUAGAGAUGUUCUCAGUAGCUUCCAGACCAAAACCAGACCCAAUUUGCCAGACUGAAGAAGUGGGUUUGUUUUUUAUCUAUCUGUUUCCACAGCAGAUGUGAUAUUUGGCCUCGCACCAGACCAAGUGUGCAUCUGCCCAUCAUUAUCACCAAUGUGAACGAUGUAGUUGGAUGAAGUGAGACAAGUUUUGGGCUUCUUCUGUCAGGCAGAAAGGAAUCAAUCUGAAUAUCAGGAUGGGUAGGCUGUUAGACCUAAGUGGGUCUCUGUCCUGCUCUCUCCUACUGCUCCACUCACAACCUUUCAUCCACCACUACUCUUAGCCUUCAAAGCGGGGCUUCCUUAGGAGAUAUUCUUCAGAAAGCCAACCCAUCUUGGUGUCAAGGCUUCCAGGGAUGGCAGAUGUUGUCCUUGCUGUCCUUUCCUUGAAACACGGCAUCAACCACUUGUUAAUCACCAAAACUGUAAGAAAAACAACUCCCUUUUUUUUUUUUUUUUCUAAGCUGUCGUUUGCUUGCUGGUCCUUGUUCUGACUUUCUCCAUCGGCAUUUAGCACUCGAGGAACAGGACUGACCUGCGAGUGAGUGACAGGACAAGGAAAAUACAUUUGUUUUUCUCCUACAUCUUGAGUGAACAACCAGUGAAUCCUCAUGAAGAACUGGAGGUGGGAGUCUGAACUGUCAAAACACUUCCUAGAACAAUAUUUUGAUUUUAAGGAGUUUUCUGUUCUGUUUCAGUUCCUUCUAAACCCUGCUUCCCUGCCUCCAUGUGAUAGGAAAUCAACCUGAGAAAAAAUAUUAAUCUUGUUCAAAAAAAGGUUUUUAUAUACAGGAGAUGUCUAAAAAUAAAUUUUAAAAGUAGCAUACUUUUAUCUGCAAAGGCUUUUUAAUCUCUCUAGGUAAGAGUAUGCAGGACCGCUUCUGAUCUGUAGUAGGGAUGGACUAAAGACACGGUACACCUCUUCUAACACUCACUGGUAAUGGGUUAGAAGGUGCUAUAGCAGCCAUGUCUGUCUUCUAUCAGGACUGUGUCCAUUCCAGAGCCAUUAUCCAGGGACUACAGACAUGCUAAAACGUUUAUGUGCUCUGUGUCAGAGGACCACGUGAUGGGCCAAAAGUCUGAUGAACCUACAAUUCAUGGGAUGAGGCAUCUGUGUUGACCUCGAUCUAUCACCUUUAUUCUCAGUGGUAACUCCUUCCAAUUUGAAAGUCCAGACCUGAGCUGAUGGUGUGAGCAUGGGUGGACAUGGGCAGGAUGGGGAUCAGAGUGUGGGCUCUGGAGCAGGGCUAGGACUGGGAAUCGCAGGUCUAACUCCACCAUCUUGUGUCAAUGCCACAGUCUCUACAUUGGGUAGAAGUCAUCAGCAUUCAACACUGUCUGCUCUACUUCUUUGCCCCUCUGCUCUAGGGAAGAACUGGUGGGCAGAUGAGCAUAAGAAGGAACAGGGUGAGUAUUGCAACUCAUCUCUUUACCAGGUGAGGUUUUCCCCAUGCCAACAACUUUCGGUUCAUCCACCACAACUUUGUUUUCUUUGUGUGGCAGCAAAUGAUGCCUCUUCUGGCUUGUUCUCUUUUUCUUCCUUCUUAAGGAGGAUCUUCUUGGAUUUACCAGAUCCAUCUUUCAAAAUAGUAAUGUGAAUUGAGGGGUUAUACCCUAGAUUUCACACGUAGUUACCCUGCCUGCUGCUUAUCACAGUUGAGCUAUUUCAGUGAUUUCUGCACAUCACUGAACAAUCUCAUUCCCAUCCUAAGAAUGAAGAACAAACUCCAGUUCAGGAGGUGAGCAAGAAAAACCCCUCUGAAACUGCCCGGGACUGAAACAAUUUGGCAAACUUUGCAGAAGAAAACUGCCAGCGUGGAACGUGGAACGUGGAACGACUAGAUGGGAGCAUUACUUCAACAGAAGAAGCUCUGAUUAGCAGAUUAUCACUUAAGUGAUGUUGAUCCCAGCCACGCUGCCUUCCAAAUAAGCUCUUUGGCAGCUGCCAGCUGCACCGUAGAGUCAUGCAUGGAAAUAAGUGGGCCAGAUCCUUUGCUGGCAUGGGUCGAGGCAGCUUUGAUGGAUCGUCGUGGAGUUAAAGCAGCUGAAGACUGGCUAUAACAGGGAGUCUGACUCGCUUCUCAAACUUCUUUGAGAGUCAUGGAUA